ensembl:snRNA U6 U6 spliceosomal RNA
GUGCUUGCUUUGGCAGCACAUAUGCUGAAAUCGGAACAAUACAGAGAAGAUUAGCAUGGCCCCUGUGCAAGGAUAACAUGCAAAUUCAUGAAGACUUCCAUAUUUUU